rnacentral:rRNA from 1 species
AAUGAACGUUGGCGGCGUGGAUUAGGCAUGCAAGUCGAGGGAGAACCCGCAAGGGGGACACCGGCGAACGGGGUAGGAUCAUCUCGGUGACGUACCCUCCGGACGGGGAUAGCCACGGGAAACUGUGGUAAUACCCGAUGACCUGGCAGGCGAUUAGGGCUUGUCAGCAAAGGUGAGAUUCCACCGGAGGAGCGGCUGAGACGCUAUUAGCUUGUUGGUGAGGUAAUGGCUUACCAAGGCGACGAUGGCUAGGGGGUGUGAGAGCAUGGCCCCCCACCACUGGCACUGAGACACUGGCCAGACACCUACGGGUGGCUGCAGUCGAGAAUCUUCGGCAAUGGGCGCAAGCCUGACCGAGCGACGCCGCGUGCGGGAUGAAGGUCUUCGGAUUGUAAACCGCUGUCGGAGGGGAUGAAGUGUAUGGGAGCAAUCUCCUGUAUUUGACAGAGCCUGGAGAAGCACGGGCUAAGUUCGUGCCAGCAGCCG